rnacentral:lncRNA from 1 species
CUCUUAACUUGCAUCACAUGCACACACCCACACACACCCUGUUUAAACAUUCAUCUUCACUCUGGUCUGCUGAUCCUACCUUCACACAGCUGCCAGAAUCUUCCUCAAGCACAAUCUAAGCAUAUUGACUUCUGGACUCAAAAAACUCCAAGGAUUAUCAGAUGACACCCAUGCCACGGCAAGAAGAAAAACUCACAUUCUACAAAGCACAAUGGGAGAAACAGACAUCUUAGAGCAGUGAACGAACUCCAGAAAUACUUCCAUGGACGGAGAAAAAAGGGAAAUAGGAAGAAAGAAAAAAACCAAGAACACCGAAAAUAGCGAUGCCGUAAGUUUGGAGAACACUCACACCGUUAUGCCGUUUGUUCCGUACAGUAACCCCCGACGAUCAUUACAGGGGAGACACUCAUUUGGAAAAGGAGGAAGCCAAAUUUCAGGGAGGGCGAGCGAUGUGCCCAAUACCAACCAGUUUGACAGUGGCAGAACUGUGGCUCCUGAUGGCAGGUCGGGGUUCUUUUUGCCACACCACUUUUCUGCCUUUCUGUGUCUUCUCCUUCUUGUCAUAUUGAUACGAAGAGUGAAAUGGUUUUGUCUCCUGUGA